GGCCUUGUAGCACAGCUGGUAGAGCGUGCCCCACAAAGCGUAGGCGACGUCCAUGCGUGGGUUCGAGUCUCGCCGAGGCUA
rnacentral:tRNA from 1 species